CAAUUGUUCAUCCCAGUUUGGCAAAAGAAUAAAUCAGGGAAGGUAGUGCAUCCGUGGAUAACAAGGGAAAUCAGGGAUAGUAUCAAAACAAAAGAUGAAGCAUACAAAUUAGCCAGAAAGAGCAGCCUACCAGAGGACUGGGAGAAAUUCAGAGUCCAGCAGAGGAGGACAAAGGGCUUAAUUAGGAAAAGGAAAAUAGAUUAUAAAAGACAACUGGCAGGUAACAUAAAAACUGACUGCAAAAGUUCUUAUAGAUAUGUGAAAAGAAAAAGGUUAGUUAAAAGAAAUGUAGGUCCCUUGCAGUCAGAAACAGGUGAAUUGAUCAUGAGGAACAAGGACUUGGCAGACCAAUUGAAUAACUACUUUGGUUCUGUCUUCACUAAGGAAGACAUAAAAAAUCUGACAGAAAUAGCAGGGGACCGGGGGUCAAAUGGAGGAACUGAGUGAACUGAGUGAAAUCCAGGUUAGUCGGGAAGUGGUGUUAGGUAAAUUGAAUGGAUAAAAGGCCGAUAAAUCCCCAGGCCAAGAUAGGCUGCAUCCCAGAGUACUUAAGGAAGUAGCCCCAGAAAUAGUGGAUGCAUUAGUGAUAAUUUUUCAAAACUCUUUAGAUUCUGGAGUAGUUCCUGAGGAUUGGAGGGUAGCUAAUGUAACCCCACUUUUUAAAAAGGGAGGGAGAGAAAAAUGGGGAAUUACAGACCAGUAAGUCUAACAUUGAUAGUGGAGAAAAUGCUAGUUAUUAAAGAUGGGAUAGCAGCCCAUUUGGAAAGUGAUGAAAUCACUGGACAAAGUCAGCAUGGAUUUAUGAAAGGUAAAUCAUGCCUGACGAAUCUUAUAGAAUAUUUUGAGGAUGCAACUAGUAGAGUGGAUAAGGGAGAACCAGUGGAUGUGUUAUAUCUGGACUUUCAGAAGGCUUUCGACAAGGCCCCACAUAAGAGAUUAGUAUGCAAACAUAAAGCAAACGGUAUUGGGGGUUCAGUAUUGAUGUGGAUAGAAAACUGGCUGGUAGACAGGAAGCUAAGAGUAGGAGUAAACGGGUCUUUUUCAGAAUGGCAGUCAGUCACUAGUGGGGUACUGCAAGGCUCAUUGCUGGAACCCCAGCUAUUUACAUUAUAUAUUAAUGAUUUGGACAAGGGAAAUGAAUGCAACAUCUCCAAGUUUGCGGAUGACACAAAGCUGGGCGGCAGUGUUAGCUGUGAGGAGGAUGCUAGGAGGCUGCAAGGUGACUUGGAUAGGUUGGGUGAGUGGGCAAAUGCAUGGCAGAUGCAGUAUAAUUUGGAUAAAUGUGAGGUUAGUCACUUUGGUGGCAAGAACAGGAAAGUAGACUGUUAUCUGAAUGGUGGCCUAUUAGGAAAAGGGGAGAUGCAAUGAGACCUGGGUGUCAUGGUACACCAGUCAUUGAAAGUAGGCAUGCAGGUGCAGCAGGCAGUGAAGAAAGCGAAUGGUAUGUUAGCAUUCAUAGCAAAAGGAUUUGUGUAUAGGAGCAGGGAGGUUCUACUGCAGUUGUACAGGGCCUUGGUGAGACCACACCUGGAGUAUUGUGUACAGUUUUGGUCUCCUAAUCUGAGGAAAAACAUUCUUGUCAUAGAGGGAGUACAGAGAAGGUUCACCAGACUGUUUCCUGGGAUGGCAGGACUUUCAUAUGAAGAAAGACUGGAUAGACUCGGCUUGUACGCGCUAGAAUUUAGAAGAUUUAGGGGGUAUCUUAUAGAAACUUACAAAAUUCUUAAGGGGUUGGACAGGCUAGAAGCAGGAAGAUUGUUCCUGAUGUUGGGGAAGUCCAGUAGAAAGGGUUACUGUUUAAGGAUAAGGGGGAAGUCUUUUAGGACCAAGAUGAGAAAAACAUUUUUCAAACUAAGAGUGGUGAACUCUGGAAUUAUCUGCUACAGAAGGUAGUUGAGGAGGGGGUUGCUAUCUAAAAUAGGAUAAUUCAAUGUUCAUCCCAUUAGGCUGUAAGCUAUCUAAGCAGAAAAUUAGUUCAGUUCUGUCUAGUUUAUGGUCACUUAUACCGAGGUACAGUGAAAAGCUUUUCCUCCAGGUUGUGUGUGGGGGAGGAGGACUAGGCCACAAAUGGCAGUAUGGAAUUGGGAAAGACCUAUCUUCGCUCUGUCCCACUAAGAUGCGCACCCAUUUCUACAACUAGCCUGUCUAUUUACUCCAUCUUCUUCCACCUAUAUCCCUUUCGCUGACUCCUCUCCUUAUCUUAUACCCUUUUGUAUCCUUCAAACUCUAGCCUGUGUGCACCCAUCUGCCAAAGUAAACGCUAGAAUUUAGAAGAUUGAGGGGGGAUCUUAUCGAAACUCAAAACAUUCUUAAGAGGUUGUACAGGCUAGAUGCAGGAAGAUUAUUCCUGAUGUUGGGGAAGUCCAGAACUAGGGAUCACAGUUUAAGGAUAAGAGGGAAGUCUUUUAAGACUGAGAUGAGAAAAUCAUUUUUUACACAGUGGUGAAUCUGUGGAAUUCUCUGCCACAGAAGGUAGUUGAGGCCAGUUCAUUGGCUAUAUUUAAGAGGGAGUUAGAUGUGGCCCUUGUGGCUAAAGGGAUCAGGGGGUAUGGAGAGAAGGCAGGGAUGGGAUAUUGAGUUGGGUAAUCAGCCAUGAUCAUAUUGAAUGGUGGUGCAGGCUCGAAGGGCCGAAUGGCCUACUCCUGCACCUAUUUUCUAUGUUUCUAACCCCCCCACACUUGUAUCCACCUAUCACUUGCCAGGGUCUGUCCCACCUCCACCUCUUUUACAGCUUUCUUCCCGCCUUUUACAAUCAGUCUGAUAAAAGGUCCCGACCCGAAAUGUUGCCUAUCCGUGACCUCCAGAGAUGCUGCCUGACCCGCAGAGUUACUACAGCACUUUGUGUAGUACUCACUGUGAUACUGGUAUCCUGGUUUGUGUACUUAAAUAAGAGACUGGAAAGAUUCUAGUACUCCUGAAACUGACGCCAAUGUGCGUCAGAGUGUACGAGAGAACAGAAUCGAAAAAUGUAUUAGUAAAAGUUAAAAAAAAAAAAAAAAAUUUAAAAGGCAAUAUAUUGCAAAGCUCAUUACAUGGUAAUAUGACCUGCAAUGUGAGUUUUAAUAAGUAAAUUGAAACUUAGCCACUGCACGAUUAGGCCUGCUGAGAUUGAUGAUCUAAAAGUUAUAAGCUCAAAUUGAAGUUACAUUAAAUUGGUACUGGACUUUCUAUAAUGAAUACCCAGUGUCAGCCUGACAACAUUCAUAGUCAUCAUGUUUCAGCUUAAUCUCCCAGCAGUAUGAUGUAAUUUAUCAUCCUAGUAAUAAAUACUGUAUAUGGACAAAACAUACUGAGAUGAAAAGAAAACAAUUUAUCAAAGAUUCUUCUUGCUCACGUCACAAGAAGACAAAUGUUAUUUUAUUAGCAAUAUGUCUUCCUGAUGCAAAAUCAAUCAUAUCUCUAGGGUCAUCCAAAUAUGUUGUUCAAUUACUUAAAUCAAAUAAUAUAUAGAUUAAAACAAAGCUAUCAAAAUGGUGGAAAACGUAAAUGCUUCUCUAUUCUCCAUUAAGGAAUAAAAUCAAUGCUUGAUUCUCAUUCAUUCUUAAUGGAUUCUGAAAUAGAAUUGUAAUGGAAGGGCUGGUUUUGGAAUUAAAUAAUAGGGCAUCACAGUGGCGCAGUGGUAGAGUUGCUGCCGUACAGCACCAGAGAUCCAGGUUCGAUCCUGAUAACGGGUGCUGUCUGUAUGGACUUUCUCCCUGUGACCAAGUGGAUUUUCUCCAGGUGCUCUGGUUUCCCUACAACACUAAAGACGUACAGGUUUGUAGGUAAAUUGGCAUUGGUAAAGAUUGGGAAAUUGUCCCUAAUGUGCAGGAUAGUGCAAGUGUAUGGGUAUCGCUGGUCGGCAUGAAACAGGCCGAAAGGCAUGUUUCCGUGCUGUAUCUCGAAACUAAACUAAACUAAAAUAACACCUUUCAUUAUUUUGGAAAUCUCUAAACCA